rnacentral:tRNA from 1 species
CGCGGUGUGGUGAAAUGGUAGACACGCCCACUCGGGAAGUGGGUGAGCUCCGGCUUGUGGGGGUCCGAAUCCCCCCACCGCGACCA